AAGGCGGCCAAGCGCAGGUCCUGAAACCGCUCAUUGCUGUUUUUCCUCCCUUUUCGAGAUCAAUGGCGGCAUAAAUUUAGUUUCAAUGGCAAGAAUAAUUUAAAACAGAUCUAUAAAUGAUAGUGUCCGUUCCCCAGAGAGCUGGAGCCUCUUACCUUACCUCAUACCUUAGCCUGCAGACAGGCAUUACUCUGGAGCUCCCGCUGGUUAACGAGUGCAGAUCACCCCACAACCCUGCAAAACCCAAUGCUGGUGGUGUUUAUUUACCUAACUACAGCAGGGUCACAGUGGGUCUGGAGCAUAUCCAGGAUCUUUAGGCACAAGAAAGGACUUCCCCGUGGACAGGGCUCCAAUUCAUUACAAG